GCCGAUAUGGCGCAGUGGUAUCUAGUGCGACUGCCUGCGACGCAGAAGGUUCUGGGUUCGAUUCCCAGUGGGUU